UACGUAGGGUGCGAGCGUUAAUCGGAAUUACUGGGCGUAAAGAGUGCGUAGGCGGUCUGUGAAGUCAGAUGUGAAAGCCCCGGGCUUAACCUGGGAUGUGCGUUUGAAACUGGCAGGCUAGAGUUUGAUAGAGGGGGGUAGAAUUCCUGGUGUAGCAGUGAAAUGCGUAGAUAUCAGGAGGAAUACCGAUGGCGAAGGCAGCCCCCUGGAUUAAAACUGACGCUCAGGCACGAAAGCAUGGGGAGCAAACAGG
rnacentral:rRNA from 1 species